rnacentral:lncRNA from 1 species
CUCAUUCCAUUGGAAUGUAAAUAAUGAAAUAAAAAGACUAAAUUAUCCCUAUUAUUUAAUACUAAGCUUCACCUUCUUCUUCAUUUUUCUCUGGAGAAUGAAACCCUAGCAGAGCAAUUUUUUUCCCACCGGAGCCGGCACCGACACUGCCGUUACUCUAAACAGAAGAUUCGUCUCCUUCUCUUCUCCGAUUCAUGUUCGCACUGCUUUUCUCUGUGAAUUUUUUUCGAAUCUCAUAUUAAGGUUUGAGUUUUUUCCUAAAACAGUGGAGGCUUCACCAACGCCACCGCCAUCGGAGCUACGCCGGCGCCACCGUUACCCUAAACGGAAGACUGUUUUCCUUCUCUUCUUCGAGUUCAUGUUCGCAUUGCUUCUCUCUGCGAUUCUCUUUGAAUCUCUCAUUAAGGUUUGGGUUCUUUUUAUGCUUUCUACAUCAUAUUACACUAAUUUCCUAUAAUAGACUGCUAAUUUGAUUAGUUAUUUUUUAUUUUGCUUGAUUUCUUAUACGCUUUCUGUGAUUGUGUUGCAUGCAAACAUGUUUGAUGAUUUGCUUCAAUAAAGAGUUUAAGUUUGUGACAUAUUUUUACAUGCUUAAUUUGGCUUGAAUCUGACAAAAACAUAUUUUUACAUGCUUAAUUUGCCUCAAUAAAGAGUUUAAGCUUAUGGUUUCUUUUCUUGAAUUUGACAAAAACAUAUUUUUACAUGCUUAAUUUGGCUUGAAUGACUGCUCAAUCUUUCUCAUCUCCCCUUUGUUUGCUGCUCUGCUACCUCCUCUGUUUAAGUCUUCACUUCUUUUCUCAUUUAGAAUCUUCUUAUAUAACUUGCAAAGCAUUUACUUUCAUUUCUUAUCUUGUUGCAUAUUAAGGAUCUUGUUCGAUUUUAUGUUGGUUGAAAUGAAGUAGUUGUAGCUUAGGAACUUAUGAUAUUAGCAUAAUAGUAGUAGUAGUAAAGUUCCUAAUUGCUACUUUGUUUUCAUUUAUGUCCAAAAUCAAUCUCUUUAAAAACAUGCUAAUUUUUGUUCCUUUUUUCUGCCUUCUUUUAUUAUUAUCUUUAAUUCUCUGCCAAUCUGUUGUUGAAAUGCAAUACAACAAUAAAUUUAGAUUUCAAGGGAUUUUUCAGUUUUUCAUUUCAAGUCUAAAUUUAAACCUGGCAUAUUAGAGUAGAAUUAUUAUUCAAAGAGUAGAAAUUAUUCUUAUUUAUUAAUUUGAUUGUUAAAAAACUAAAACAAUUCCUGCAUUGCAUACUCAUUUGGCUUGAUCUUGUCAUCUAUGACUUGCUCCAUUUCCUCCAUCAGGUGAUGGAGUUUCAUUAUCCUUCUUCUCUUCUCUAAGUAAUUGGCAAAGCACCUCUUCAUAUGGUACUUACUCUGCCUCAAUGCAUCCUGCAUGUUCUCCGUUAUGGAAUUCGUGCGCUUCAACUUCGGUGCUGAAGAAGAAGUAGCAGCCAUUUAUGAGAAAGUUCCUGAUCACAAAACAAUAGCUCGUCUUCAGGUUCGUGUCAGCUCUUUGUUAUUUGCUUUUCAUUUAACACUAAAACUAUACUCUACUUGUUGACUAUUUGGUAUUUAUGUUAAACAAAGUAGAGGGUAGAUUCAAGAUUCACAUGUACAUAACUGAUAAAGAAAAAAAAAAUGGGGGCAGGGAAGGAAAAUUACAUGUGACAAAAAGAGAGACACUUAAGAAAUAAUUAAAUCAUUGAUAAGAGAGUUGAAAGAGAAGGAUGUGUGAAUUGAAAAAGGGGUGCAUGAGACAGACUACUCUGCUGUUUAUAUUAUGAAUACGAAAGGCCACCUUAACAUUAACAUUGACAUAGAUAGAAAGAUAGAUAUAUAGAAUUAUAGAUAGAUAUAUGAAGUGAAAUGAAGAAAGGACAAAAGGGGAUGUGUGUCUUUGAUUGCAUUGUGAACUAAACUUGAUGGCCAUAAUUUUAGAACCGUACAGUUACAAAAGUUGGAGAAUUAGCAGUGCAAAAGACCUGAGAGCUCUAUGCUGUAUUAUAUAUAUAUAUUUUUUAUUUCAGGAAUUUGGCUAAUUAUGCUGUUAUGGCCACAAUUGGCUUUUACCUCCAUUAAUAUGCAGACAUUGUUUAUACUAAAAAAUUAGUAACUGAAAGGUAGGUUGUGUUGGAAAUAAAUUUUAUGACUACGAUUUAAUUUUUUUUUAUGUUAUUUUAUAUGGUUAAUUGUUUAAAUUUUUUCAGGCUGUUUUCUUCAACACACGUUAUCUGACAAAUUGAUUUCACAUCUUUGAAACCAAAUUCAGUAGUUGGCAGAUGCAAAGGAUAUAUUGGAAGGCAUUCAAGAUGUAAAAGGUGUUAGUUUUCCUAUAUUAACUCCAAACCUCAAAGUAAGAUAUAUAUGCUUUAAAAAUUAUUAUUGCCAAUCAGCCAUUUGACUGGUUUAAACUCUGUUUAUUUUAUUUGUCAAAUAACUUGCUAAAUUCUGUGGUUUGAAUUCUGUUUAUUUCUUUUGCUGAACUUUGCGAUUUGAAUUCUGUUUAUUUUAUUUUUUAGCAUACCAUUCAUGAUGGAGGAGAUGUUCCGGUCUAUGAGUGAUAUCAGACUAUCAAAUAUGGAAGUGGAUCCACCACCAAUCUUCAGUCAAAGGUCUGAUUUCCAAUUCUUGCUGCAAGACAUUGAAAGUGAUUCUCAGUAACCUAGCAAAACUUUAGUGUUCAUACACAGUUAUACUUUCUGAUUUUUAUUGAUUUGAUUUGAGUUUGAUGUGAGGAGUGUAAAUUGAGUGAAGAGGUGAGGGAUUCUAAUUAUUUUUUUGUAUCUAUUCUUUUUCAUUUAUUUUCUGGAAGUUUCCUAUUUUUUAUUCUUCUAGGGCUUCUUUUCAAGAAGAAGGAAGACCACGGUGAAAUUUGAUAUUGUUAUACAGUAUAACUUUUGAAAGGAAUGAAAUGAAGGAAGGCUGAAUUUUUGUUAUGUAUAUUUGAUUUGAUAUUGUUUUUAAUACAUAUGUGUUUAGAAAGGUAGAGAUUUGUUUUGUAUAAGUUCAAUUAUGAAUUAUGAGACAAAUUAUGGAUUACGUGAUUUUUUUUAAUUUAGAUAAGUAUUUGUGCUAAUUUUAGUUGUAAUAUUUGUUAUUA